rnacentral:rRNA from 1 species
UACGUAGGGCGCAAGCGUUAUCCGGAAUUAUUGGGCGUAAAGAGCUCGUAGGCGGUUUGUCGCGUCGGGAGUGAAAACCUUGGGCUUAACUCAGGGCUUGCUUUCGAUACGGGCAGACUAGAGGUAUGCAGGGGAGAACGGAAUUCCUGGUGUAGCGGUGAAAUGCGCAGAUAUCAGGAGGAACACCGGUGGCGAAGGCGGUUCUCUGGGCAUGAUCUGACGCUGAGGAGCGAAAGUGUGGGGAGCGAACAGG